GGGCCUAUAGCUCAGUCUGGUGAGCAACUAACUUUGCUCAGGCAAAUAGAGCGGCAGCCUUCUAAGCUGAAGGUCGGGGGUUCAAAUCCUCCUAGGCCCG
rnacentral:tRNA from 1 species